rnacentral:rRNA from 1 species
UAACGUUUGAUGUUCUAACCUAGGCCCAUAAACUGGGUCGGGGACCGUGUCUGGUGGGUAGUUUGACUGGGGCGGUCUCCUCCUAAAGAGUAACGGAGGAGCACGAAGGUUGGCUAAGCAUGGUCGGACAUCAUGCGGUUAGUGCAAAGGCAUAAGCCAGCUUGACUGCGAGAGUGACGGCUCGAGCAGGUACGAAAGUAGGUCUUAGUGAUCCGGUGGU